CGUCACUUUCUGGUGUCUGUGAUCUCGGCGCUGCAGGAUGACGCGAGCCUCUCGCGUCCCUGGUUUUGUUGGUCGCCGCGUUGCGUUAUUGGGUGGAAAGGCAUCAUCUUAGAGUCACCCUUCUUUGGAAACCACUGUAUCGGAGAAAUCCCUCCAAGACACAGGUAAUUAGAGAGGGUAUGUGAACCAAGGAGCCAAUCAAAUUCUCCCACAUAAGAAUUUGGGACACAGAAGAUGAAGCUGAGGACCACAAGGAUUUAGAUACUGAUGCUAUGGUGGCUUUCACUGCACUGUGCUGCCUGGGGUUGGGGAAGAGGUGCUGCAGGUAACAUAAAACUAUCUUUCCUACUCUCCUCAGUGUGUCUUUUCGUAUUAUUAUUAUGCUAUAACCAUGUACUGUGAUCUCUCACCACUUUUCCUUAGCACUUGAGAAGGUAAUUUCAUGCAUGGAUAGUUGUUCAAAUUAAUGUUUUUUUGUGGGGUGAUGAUUGCGUGGAGAGUCCUGUUCUGCCAUGUUACUCUUCCCUUUCCCUGCAAGUUAUGUUUCUUAAGGUGAGGUUAUUUGUGAGCAGGAGAGAGAUAAGAAAGAAAUAUCCUAAUUUAGUAGGUGUGUGGUGGGCCAUGUGUUUAUCUUUAAGUAAAGAGUAUUAAUACUUUAAAAAAAUUGCAAGAAAUAGAAUGCUUAUUGCCAAAUUUAGCUUUUAAAAUUAUUCCUGGAUUAGUGAGCUCUUUUUAAAAUAAAGUAAUUUAUUAGUAUAGUGAUUAUUCCUCUGUUUUCUCUAAUAUUAAACAAUAGCGUUAUUUUAAGCAGAAUAUUUCAAAUAUAUUUAAAUUAAAGACAAGAACAAUGCUUUAUAAGGGAAGAAUGUUUACUUUUAAAAUGUUAUUUUAGGUAUCAUUUGGUUGUAAGAAACAGAAAUGUCCUUAAUUGAUGUUCUUAGAUGAAAGGUGGCUAGGUAAAAAGAUUUAGGAAAUCUUAUGGAAACAGACUGUAAAAAGUAUAGCUGGGGCUGAUGGAGGAUGGGAACAGGAAAACCCUAAGGAAUAGUCUUUCUGCCUUUGGAGUAGGCUGGUCAGUCACUGCCUCUACUGAGGGUCUGAUUUCAUCCAUCUAUCUUUGUGGCUUCUCUGAUUUCAUUCUUUUAAAUUUAUAUUUUAUUUUAAUACUAAAAUCUUGUAUAUUUUAGUGUAGACCUAUUUAUCUAAUUUAUACAUAUACAAAUAUACAUAUAUUUGGGGGACAUAUAGUAAAAUUAUUUUUAAAACUGUUGGGAUGCACAAUUAAAUGAGAUUGGAGACUAGUUGCUUAAAAUGAUUGUGAAUAUGGAGAAGACUCCUGGCAUCUAUAAUACAGUAUUAUUUUCAUGCCUGUUUUUUACAGCAAAUUGGCUCUCCAAAAUACUGUGGGAAUUUACUAAAUUCUUGAUUACGUGUCAC